rnacentral:rRNA from 1 species
GAUGAACGCUGGCAGCGUGCCUAAUACAUGCAAGUCGAGCGAACAGAUAAGGAGCUUGCUCCUUUGACGUUAGCGGCGGACGGGUGAGUAACACGUGGGUAACCUACCUAUAAGACUGGGAUAACUUCGGGAAACCGGAGCUAAUACCGGAUAACAUUUGGAACCGCAUGGUUCUAAAGUGAAAGAUGGUUUUGCUAUCACUUAUAGAUGGACCCGCGCCGUAUUAGCUAGUUGGUAAGGUAACGGCUUACCAAGGCGACGAUACGUAGCCGACCUGAGAGGGUGAUCGGCCACACUGGAACUGAGACACGGUCCAGACUCCUACGGGAGGCAGCAGUAGGGAAUCUUCCGCAAUGGGCGAAAGCCUGACGGAGCAACGCCGCGUGAGUGAUGAAGGGUUUCGGCUCGUAAAACUCUGUUAUUAGGGAAGAACAAAUGUGUAAGUAACUGUGCACGUCUUGACGGUACCUAAUCAGAAAGCCACGGCUAACUACGUG